rnacentral:rRNA from 1 species
GACGAACGCUGGCGGCGUGCUUAACACAUGCAAGUCGAACGGAAAGGCCCUGCUUUUGUGGGGUGCACGAGAGGGGAAGGGGGGAGUAAAACGUGAGUAACCUGUCCUUGAAUUUGGGAUAACUUCAGGAAAAUGGGGAUAAUACCGGAUAGGAGCUACUGCUGCACGGGGGGGGAUGGAAAGAUUCGGCGGUGUGGGAUGGUCUCGCGGCUUAUCAGCUUGUUGGUGGGGUAGUGGCUUACAAAGGCUGUGACGGGUAGCCGGCCUGGGAGGGUGACCGGCCUCAUUGGGCCUGAGGUACGCCCCAGUCUCCUACGUUACGCAGCAGUGGGGAAUAUUGCACAACGGGCCCAGGCCUGAUGCAGCACCGCCGCGUGCGUGAUGACGGCCUUCGGGUUGUAAACCGCUUUCGCCUGUGACGAAGCGUGAGUGACGGUAAUGAGUAAAAAAGCCCCGGCUAACUACGUG